rnacentral:rRNA from 1 species
GGCCACUGCUAUUGGGAUCCGACUAAGCCAUGCGAGUCGAGAGGGUUCGGCCCUCGGCAGACUGCUCAGUAACACGUAGAUGACCUAACCUUAGGUGGAAGAUAACCUCGGGAAACUGAGAAUAAUAUUCCAUAGAUCUAGGAUGCUGGAAUGCAUCUAGAUUGAAAGUUCCGACGCCUAAGGAUGGGUCUGCGGACUAUCAGGUUGUAGUCAGGGUAAAGACCUGACUAGCCUACGACGGAUAUGGGUUGUGAGAGCAAUAGCCCAGAGACGAUAUCUGAGACACGAUAUCGGGCCCUACGGGGCGCAGCAGGCGCGAAAUCUUCACAAUGUGCGAAAGCACGAUGAGGGGAUCCCAAGUGCUGGCACGUAAGUGUCAGCUGUUUCUUAGUCUAAAAAACUGAGAGAGUAAGGGCUGGGUAAGACGGGUGCCAGCCGCCGCGGUAAUACCUGCAGCUCAAGUGGUGGCCGCUAUUAUUGGGCCUAAAACGUCCGUAGCCUGUUUAGUAAAUGCCUGGGUAAAUUGUGUAGCUUAACUAUACGAAUACCGGGUAGACUGCUAAACUUGGGACCGGGAGAGGCUAGAGGUACUCCUGGGGUAGAGGUGAAAUUCUGUAAUCCUAGGGGGACCACCAGUGGCGAAGGCGUCUAGCUAGAACGGGUCUGACGGUGAGGGACGAAGCCCUGGGGCGCAAACCGGAUUAGAUACCCGGGUAGUCCAGGGUGUAAACGCUGCUUGCUUGAUGUUAGUUGGGCUCCGAGCCCAACUAGUGUCGGAGAGAAGUUGUUAAGCAAGCUGCCUGGGAAGUACGGUCGCAAGACUGAAAC